UAAUUGCCUUUAUAUUUAACAAUUAAAAACAACUACAUUUGUAAAUAUCUUAAUGAAUUCAACACUCAUGACGUAACUUUUGGUUCAAGAAUGUAGUCAGACAUAUAGGAUUUUACGUUGCUACGCAUACAUGUUUCAUAGGUCAUUAUUCCAAGAUUGCUUAGAAUGGAGAAAAAAAAAUCAAAUCUCUGAACAAUGAGAAAUCAAAUCGAAUUCGAGACGGACAUAUUAUAAAUAAUAGGGGUUAUUAAAAUGCUUGUGUCUGUCAACAAUGGAGAAUAAACUCGGUGUUCGUUUCGUCUGCCAUUUUGAGAACUAUUAUAAAAGCCAACAAGAAGAAUAAUAAACCGAAAGAGAAUUGUGGAUGUUUAAAAGCCGGUCGUGUCACUUAUCAGAAUGCUGUUACUUAAAAAAAAAAUUUGAUCAUUAUUCCUUCUGUUUAUAAUAACAUCAAUUUACAUUUUUUAUUAUGUAAUUAAUUGUGUGUUUUUUUCCAAUUUCCAUAAGCUUCAUCUUAAAUUUUACAGUAUGACAUGUAAAAGCAGAUCAUAUCAAAAUACAAUAUGCGGAUUGCAUCUUGCGAUAUAUACUGAUAUAUUGUAGUAGCUCUAAAAAUGAUCAUCAUUGUAAAUGGGUAAAGACAAACAUGGUUUCAUUUAUAUGUAAGUUUAUCUGAUUAUAACCAGAUUCUUAUUCAUAUUCUGCUGUAUAAUGUAUGUCACUCUGUACUGUAGUAGCAUGUUAGUGAAAUUGAUGAUUUUAAAAUAUAUAAAUAUUAAAAUAAAAUUAGUACAUUGAACAAUAAAACUUAAGUGUGAA